GCCCGCUAAGGGUAUCUUUUGGCACCUCUAAAAAUGGUGCAGAAUAAGGGGUGGGCAAGUCUGGUGUCAGCCGCCGCGGUAAUACCAGCACCCCGAGUUGUCGGGACGAUUAUUGGGCCUAAAGCAUCCGUAGCCGGUUCUACAAGUCCUCCGUUAAAUCCACCUGCUCAACAGAUGGGCUGCGGGGGAUACUAUAGGGCUAGGAGGCGGGAGAGGCAAACGGUACUCAGUGGGUAGGGGUAAAAUCCAUUGAUCUACUGAAGACCACCAGUGGCGAAGGCGGUUUGCCAGAACGCGCUCGACGGUGAGGGAUGAAAGCUGGGGGAGCAAACCGGAUUAGAUACCCGGGUAGUCCCAGCUGUAAACGAUGCAGACUCGGUGAUGGGUUGGCUUCGCGCCAACCCAGUGCCGCAGGGAAGCCGUUAAGUCUGCCGCCUGGGGAGUACGGUCGCAAGACUGAAACUUAAAGGAAUUGGCGGGGGAGCACCACAAGGGGUGAAGCCUGCGGUUCAAUUGGAGUCAACGCCGGGAAUCUUACCGGGGGCGACAGCAGAGUGAAGGUCAAGCUGAAGACUUUACCAGACAAGCUGAGAGGAGGUGCAUGGCCGUCGCCAGCUCGUGCCGUGAGGUGUCCUGUUAAGUCAGGUAACGAGCAAGAUCCCUGCCUCUAGUUGCUACCACUGCUCUCAGGAGCAGAGGGGCUAAUUAGAGGGACCGCCGCCGCUGAAGGCGGAGGAAGGAGGGGGCUACGGCAGGUCAGUAUGCCCCGAAACCCUCGGGCCACACGCGGGCUGCAAUGGUAAGGACAGCGGGCUCCGAUCCCGAAAGGGGGAGGCAAUCCCACAAACCUUACCUCAGUUAUGAUUGAGGGCUGAAACUCGCCCUCAUGAAUAUGGAAUCCCUAGUAACCGCGUGUCAACAUCGCGCGGUGAAUACGUCCCUG
rnacentral:rRNA from 1 species